rnacentral:rRNA from 1 species
UCGAGAAUUUUUGACAAUGGGGGAAACCCUGAUCGAGCGACGCCGCGUGGAGGAUGAAGGUCUUCGGAUUGUAAACUCCUGUCAUUGGGGAACAAUGUCCCGCUUUUAACUGAGGCGGGAUUGAUAGUACCCGAAGAGGAAGAGACGGCUAACUCUGUGCCAGCAGCCGCGGUAAUACAGAGGUCUCAAGCGUUGUUCGGAUUCAUUGGGCGUAAAGGGUGCGUAGGCGGCGCGGUAAGUCGGGUGUGAAAUCUCGGGGCUUAACUCCGAAACUGCAUUCGAUACUGCCGUGCUUGAGGACUGGAGAGGAGACUGGAAUUUACGGUGUAGCGGUGAAAUGCGUAGAUAUCGUAAGGAAGACCAGUGGCGAAGGCGGGUCUCUGGACAGUUCCUGACGCUGAGGCACGAAGGUCAGGGGAGCAAACG